GUUUGUUUCUACUACAAAAUAAACCUUAUGCUUUUUUUAUACCCUCUUAAGGGAAUCAUUUUCCACUAUUUAUAAGGGGCUUGGCUGAAAUGAUUUCAUUUCAAUCAAAUCAGCCACUUGUAUUGAGCUUGGAUCACAUGCCGCUGACCUCUCCCUUGAUUGGUAAAUGAGGUCGGUAGCCAUCAUGUUACUAUUCCCUUCAGGUAAUGAUGGACUGCAAAGGAUAGAGAAGCCAAGGAGGUUGAUUGGUAGAUAUAGGUAGUGUAUGCGAUUGAAGGGGUGAUGUGACAAGAUAUAAGGAAUCUGCAAUCAUUAUGUCUUUUGAGAUUAUGGCAACGAUAUGUCGAGCUGAGCUUUUAUGACCGAGCUCACACAUGUAUAAGGUGGGCCUUGUGAUUAAUAGAUAUGAGACCAGGGAUCGACCGUCAACAAUUAUCACUUCGAUAUUUUUAAUGAAUUAAUAUAUUUCUUGAUGAUGAGGUUAAAUACAAGACAUAGUGACAUAUUAGUAUAACUUCUUUCUUUCUAUGAAGCUUUGGGUCCUAAAUAUUCAAUUGGAUAAUUAAAUAGUAGCAAUGUUUACACUGUUGGGUUUUCAUACCCAAUAAAUCUCAAGCUAUGAUAUUAAUGUGAGACUAUAUAUUUCAGAGGCUUAGGCUUAUGAAUAAAAUAAGUACCAACAACCAAAUUCACAGGCUCUAUUCGACCCAUUAUAUCCUCUUGGAUGGUUUUGAAUCUUGACCCAUUAGCUUUGUUAUUGAUCCAAUUAAAAGCCUAACCUAACCCUAUUUAUAUGGCUAUAGCCCUAGUAAUUUUCUAGUGUGAUUUGUGAGAAAAAUAAGAGGAAAAAUGUGGCCCCUUUGAAGAGAAGAAACCGAUUGAAUUUGUAUCCAAAAACCAGUGAUUAACUUUAUGUUUAUGGUCUCUUCCUUGCCUUCCUUUGUGGUG
rnacentral:lncRNA from 1 species